rnacentral:rRNA from 1 species
CCUACGGAAGGCAGCAGUGAGGAAUAUUGGUCAAUGGGCGCUAGCCUGAACCAGCCAAGUAGCGUGAAGGAUGACUUCCCUAUGGGUUGUAAACUUCUUUUAUAUGGGAAUAAAGUGCAGUAUGUAUACUGCUUUGCAUGUACCUUAUGAAUAAGGAUCAGCUAACUCCGUGCCAGCAGCCGCGGUAAUACGGAGGAUCCGAGCGUUAUCCGGAUUUAUUGGGUUUAACGGGAGCGUAGGCGGGUUGUUAAGUCAGUUGUGAAAGUUUGCGGCUCAACCGUAAAAUUGCAGUUGAUACUGGCAUCCUUGAGUACAGUAGAGGUAGGCGGAAUUCGUGGUGUAGCGGUGAAAUGCUUAGAUAUCACGAAGAACUCCGAUUGCGAAGGCAGCCUGCUGGACUGUAACUGACGCUGAUGCUCGAAAGUGUGGGUAGCAAACAGGAUUAGAUACCCCUGUAGUC